CAAAGGCACCUUGCAUAUGUUUUGCUCUUAUAGCAAAGAUGGAUAGUUUCAUGGAUAAUUGCAUAGAAUUUGCUCUGGUGUCUCUAAAACUUGGUUACCAAAGGCUUUUCCAGCUGUCACUCAACUGACACUGGGACCAUGUGUCAAUGGCUUUAUAAAUGGAACUGCUCUGGACACAGCUGCCCCCGCUGGACCUGGUUCCAGCAAUUCUGAGAUUAUGCAUUUGCAGCAGAAGGAGUCUACCUUCUUGGAAAUGAAGGAUCUGACAUCACACAGAGCCACCCUUGGAUGUGAACAGCAGCUGCUGAGGAGCAUUUUCCCAGCAUUAGAGACCUCCAGAAGGACUAAGGCAGUGAUGGUAGAAGGGCUUACAUCUUCCCAUCCAACCAGCAACUUCAUGUUCUGUCCCAGAAACUUGACAAAAAUCUCUACCUUGACGGAAGCCCAAGAUGGGAACCUGGAGAAGAACCCAACUUGACAGAAACAGGCAAAAAUGCUACUCUGGUAGAGAAAAUUAGGGAACUAAACUCUUCACUUAGGAUAUCACCAAGGAAAAUGCAUAGUGAUUAAUUAGUUACAUCACAUAGGUUUAUUCUUUGACAACAAUCCCCUCUUUUUCUUCCUCUCUGAGCCUUUCUCUAGUGCAAAACCAUGAGACUUUGAAAGCUGCACACCAGUCCUGGCAGGAAUUAGCCAAAACCACAGCCCAAGGUGACCUUUGAAAACUGAAAUUUCCUUAGACCACAAUAGAACUGAUCCUGCCUGUUCUGCAGCUGUUCCUUGUUAUACAAGCUGACUAGAAACUGAAGAAUAAACAUGAGGAAGAAAAGAAUAAUAGUGCUAUCUUAACCUGCUCUUUUGAUUUUCCAAGGUCAUAUAUCAGCCCUUUGCAGUAAAUGUAUGUCUGUCUAGUACAAAUCCCAUCCAAGAGCACUUCCAGGUAACAUUAUUCUAAUUAACAGACCAUGCAGACUGAUGCUCCCCACAGAAGUAAAAAAAUCACAAAAUGUCUGUUAUUCCUGACUGGUCUGGUCGUAUUUUUUGCUAAUACCCACCCAAAAACUUACAUCUGAAUAUUUUCAAAUCUACAAAUACAAUUUUGCUGGAAGUAGGGAAAGGGUAGAAGAGGUAAUUGGUUUGGACCAAAGGUGCUUAGUGGAUAAAAAGUUUCUAAUGAGAAGUGCCAACUUCUCUUGCUAGGUUUUUUGCAUGGGAUUUUUAAAGGGCAGAACUUCCUACCUGUCUUAUACUAUGAAACAGCAUAACUCUAGAUGGGAGGUAGGGGGUUUGUCCACAAUCCUGUUAGCUGAGCUGUACAAGGGCUGAUCAUUAUUAGAUAAAAAAAUAUGAGAAAUGUCACCCAUAAAGUGUCAGUGUUCCCUAUGCCCCUCAAUAUGCAUUGCCACCAAUUCCUCAGCUCCUCCAUGCCUCCUGGCUGGAAGCCAUCCUGUUCUCCACAUCCACCUGCUCAACACCCACUCUUCACAGAGAAAUUAUUGGUUGCUUUCAAGCAAACCAUUAGAAAAUUUUGCAUGGGAGCAGUGGUGGGAGGAAUGAGAUUGAGGAGGCUUCUUGAAUCGUUCAGCACAAUCUGAAAUGUGCAAGGAUAAUCUGAAAUCUUCAGGACAAUACCUGCUUCAGUAUCCUAAAUGGCUAGAUGGGAAUGAUUUCUUUUUCCUUCAUUAAAUUUGGGUCCUCUUGGACUAAUGGCUUAUGAAAUAUUGAGCAAAAUGGCUGUACCUUCACAGCUACCACACGAGCCUGGAGUGGGGCUCUCCAAGUGAACUGUUUCUAAAAUGACAUGGUUUUGGUUCUUAGCAAAUCUGCUUCAAAACCACUAUUAAUGACAACCAAAGAGCACUCCAAUCAAGCUGAAACCGAUCGUAGCUUGUGGUUCUGAGAUGUCCACUGCAAUUGCAAGUACUGGGUUGUUUGGUGGGUUUUUUUCAGGCAGGGAGUGCCAUGGUGAGUGGUGUUUGAAAAGGCAGUCUAGGGAGUGUUUCACUGUGCUGUCUGUCUCAGUCUGUGUGAGGCAGAAUUGAUUUCCUACAUUCGGCAAAAUAUCUUGCUAAGGAGAGAGACACUGAAACUUUAGAAUUCCUUUUUCUCCUGUUUUGGAAAUAUGACAUCAAGCUGUGGACUCCAAAACUGUUGGAUUGGUGGGGUGUGAAAUUUUUUCAUUCUGGAAAAAAAUAGGCAUGGCUAAUAACUGGGUGAGAGGGACCAUAAUUUUACACAGUGUACAUUUAGUAAGAGUCUGUUCCUGCUCAGAUGCAGUAGAACAAGCAGAGAGUAAUACAAAGUGGGAUAAUUUUGAGUUAUUAGCCCAAAUUUUAGGAGAAGAAAUCUCUCAACAGAUGACAUGUGUGUCAGAGCUGGGACCCAGAGCCAACAGACUGCAUCAAUCACAGGGUCAAUUGUUCUGAUUUUAAGAGAAGGAAUUGUAUGGGCAGCCUUCUAGAGCUUCACAUAAGUAUCAGAUUGUAAUUCCAGCUUUAGAUUUCUUACUUAAACCAAACCCCAAGUCCAGCCCCCCUGAGGGUCUCUCAGCACUGCUAAUGCACCCGUCAGUGCACAUUCCAAGCAGCAUGCGUAUUCAGCAGACAAUGGGGAUUGUUGUGGUGGCAGGCAAAGCAUGCAGUGGGUUGCAGUAGCAGGGAUCAUAUCCCAUAUAUUUUUAA